rnacentral:rRNA from 1 species
CUUAACACAUGCAAGUCGAACGGAAAGGCCCUGCUUUUGUGGGGUGCUCGAGUGGCGAACGGGUGAGUAACACGUGAGUAACCUGCCCUUGACUUUGGGAUAACUUCAGGAAACUGGGGCUAAUACCGGAUAGGAGCUCCUGCUGCAUGGUGGGGGUUGGAAAGUUUCGGCGGUUGGGGAUGGACUCGCGGCUUAUCAGCUUGUUGGUGGGGUAGUGGCUUACCAAGGCUUUGACGGGUAGCCGGCCUGAAAGGGUGACCGGCCACAUUGGGACUGAAAUACGGCCCAAACUCCUACGGGAGGCAGCAGUGGGGAAUAUUGCACAAUGGGCGGAAGCCUGAUGCAGCAACGCCGCGUGCGGGAUGACGGCCUUCGGGUUGUAAACCGCUUUCGCCUGUGACGAAGCGUGAGUGACGGUAAUGGGUAAAGAAGCACCGGCUAACUACGUGCCAGCAGCCGCGGUGAUACGUAGGGUGCGAGCGUUGUCCGGAUUUAUUGGGCGUAAAGGGCUCGUAGGUGGUUGAUCGCGUCGGAAGUGUAAUCUUGGGGCUUAACCCUGAGCGUGCUUUCGAUACGGGUUGACUUGAGGAAGGUAGGGGAGAAUGGAAUUCCUGGUGGAGCGGUGGAAUGCGCAGAUAUCAGGAGGAACACCAGUGGCGAAGGCGGUUCUCUGGGCCUUUCCUGACGCUGAGGAGCGAAAGCGUGGGGAGCGAACAGGCUUAGAUACCCUGGUAGUCCACGCUGUAAACGGUGGGUACUAGGUGUGGGGUCCAUUCCACGGGUUCCGUGCCGUAGCUAACGCUUUAAGUACCCCGCCUGGGGAGUACGGCCGCAAGGCUAAAACUCAAAGGAAUUGACGGGGCCCCGCACAAGCGGCGGAGCAUGCGGAUUAAUUCGAUGCAACGCGUAGAACCUUACCUGGGUUUGACAUGGAUCGGGAGUGCUCAGAGAUGGGUGUGCCUCUUUUGGGGUCGGUUCACAGGUGGUGCAUGGCUGUCGUCAGCUCGUGUCGUGAGAUGUUGGGUUAAGUCCCGCAACGAGCGCAACCCUUGUUCACUGUUGCCAGCACGUUAUGGUGGGGACUCAGUGGAGACCGCCGGGGUCAACUCGGAGGAAGGUGGGGAUGACGUCAAGUCAUCAUGCCCCUUAUGUCCAGGGCUUCACGCAUGCUGCAAUGGCUGGUACAGAGAGUGGCGAGCCUGUGAGGGUGAGCGAAUCUCGGAAAGCCGGUCUCAGUUCGGAUUGGGGUCUGCAACUCGACCUCAUGAAGUCGGAGUCGCUAGUAAUCGCAGAUCAGCAACGCUGCGGUGAAUACGUUCCCGGGGCUUGUACACACCGCCCGUCAAGUCAUGAAAGUUGGUAACACCCGAAGCCGGUGGCCUAACCGUUGUGGGGGAGCCGUCGAAGGUGGGACUGGUGAUU